rnacentral:snoRNA from 1 species
AAGUGAAAUGAUGGUUACAUCUUUCGGGACUGACCUGAAAUGGAGAAAACAUAUCUUACUGAUCACUU